rnacentral:rRNA from 1 species
UGAAAUACCACCCUGUUCACGUGUACGGCCUAACUCUGAUUCCCGUGAAGCCGGGCAGAGGACAGUGGGUGCUGGGUAGUUUGACUGGGGCGGUCUCCUCCCAAAGAGUAACGGAGGAGCACAAAGGUCAGUUCAGCGCGGAUGGAAACCGCGCGUCGAGUGUAAGAGCACAAGCUGGCUUUACUGCGAGACAUACUCGUCGAGCAGUUACGAAAGUAGGCUCUAGUGAUCCGGUAGUCCCGUGUGGAAGGGC